AUUGCUUCUCGGCCUGUUGGCUAAGAUCAAGUGUAGUAUCUGUUCUUAUCAGUUAAAUAAAUAAAUAUUUAAAAAACAUAAAUUGACUUAGGUAUUGAGUGUAGUAUAAACCUUCUAACUACUAAAUGGUAU
ensembl:snRNA Gm25007 predicted gene, 25007